rnacentral:rRNA from 1 species
UACGUAGGGGGCAAGCGUUGUCCGGAUUUAUUGGGCGUAAAGAGCGUGUAGGCGGCCAGGUAGGUCAGCUGUGAAAACUCGAGGCUCAACCUCGAGACGUCGGUUGAAACCACCUGGCUAGAGUCCGGAAGAGGAGAGUGGAAUUCCUGGUGUAGCGGUGAAAUGCGCAGAUAUCAGGAGGAACACCCGUGGCGAAAGCGGCUCUCUGGGACGGUACUGACGCUGAGACGCGAAAGCGUGGGGAGCAAACAGG